UACCAGACUCCUACGGGAGGCAGCAGUGGGGAAUAUUGCACAAUGGGGGAAACCCUGAUGCAGCGACGCCGCGUGAGCGAUGAAGUAUUUCGGUAUGUAAAGCUCUAUCAGCAGGGAAGAAGAUGACGGUACCUGACUAAGAAGCCCCGGCUAACUACGUGCCAGCAGCCGCGGUAAUACGUAGGGGGCAAGCGUUAUCCGGAUUUACUGGGUGUAAAGGGAGCGUAGACGGCGAUGCAAGCCAGAUGUGAAAGCCCGGGGCUCAACCCCGGGACUGCAUUUGGAACUGUGUGGCUGGAGUGUCGGAGAGGCAGGCGGAAUUCCUAGUGUAGCGGUGAAAUGCGUAGAUAUUAGGAGGAACACCAGUGGCGAAGGCGGCCUGCUGGACGAUGACUGACGUUGAGGCUCGAAAGCGUGGGGAGCAAACAGGAUUAGAUGCCCUAGUAC
rnacentral:rRNA from 1 species